GAUGCGAGAAGCAUUUCGAAACAGUGCUGUAUAAGUGCAAAUGGAACAGUGAGUCACGGUGAGGUGAAGAAAGAAAUAAUCGGGUUAUUCAUGGGCCGGUAAGUGAUUCAAAAUUCUCAUAUUGUUCUAUUCUAGGAGUAUGGAAGUGUUUUUCAGAAACAUUUUUUGGAAUACCGGGGUAGAAUUACACAAAAAUAACCUGUGGAAUUUCCAUUACAGUUAUAUUAUAGAAGUUCUAUAUUUUUAAAGAAACAAAGACAUAGUGGUGCUCUUCUGAAAGUCACACAUUUGCGGCCGUUUUAUAUUCCCCCAGAAUGCGAACAUCUGUUACCAAUGGCUUAUUAAUUUUCAAACUUUUCUCUCACAUGGUUCUCCAGUUCUAAAACUUCUAUUUUCAUUGCAAAAAUUCUUGGUAGUAUCAUAAGUUUAAGUUUUAAAGUUUAAUCAGAAAUAACAAUAAAUUCUAUUUAAAAACAUGUUUUGUUUUUGCAAUAUGUUACUUUAAUGAAUUUUAUUAAUUAUAA
ensembl:lincRNA linc-34 ncRNA